AUUGAACGCUGGCGGCAGGCUUAACACAUGCAAGUCGAACGAGCGGCGGACGGGUGAGUAACGUAUCGGAACCUGCCCGGUAGAGGGGGAUAACUGACGGAAACGGUAGCUAAUACCGCAUAUUAUACGAGCAGCCCAUGUCUGAUUAGCUGGUAGGUGGGGUAAAGGCUCACCAAGGCGACGAUCAGUAGCGGGUCUGAGAGGAUGAUCAGCCACACUGGGACGGAGACACGGCCCAGACUCCUACGGGAGGCAGCAGUGGGGAAUUUUGGACAAUGGGCGCAAGCCUGAUCCAGCCAUGCCGCGUGUAUGAAGAAGGCCUUCGGGUUGUAAAGUACUUUUGGCAGGGAGGCGGUACCUGAAGAAUAAGCACCGGCUAACUACGUGCCAGCAGCCGCGGUAAUUC
rnacentral:rRNA from 1 species